rnacentral:rRNA from 1 species
AAGGUUGAAACUCAAAGGAAUUGACGGGGGCCCGCACAAGCGGUGGAGCAUGUGGUUUAAUUCGAAGCAACGCGAAGAACCUUACCAGGUCUUGACAUCCUUUGACCACUCUAGAGAUAGAGCUUCCCCUUCGGGGGCAAAGUGACAGGUGGUGCAUGGUUGUCGUCAGCUCGUGUCGUGAGAUGUUGGGUUAAGUCCCGCAACGAGCGCAACCCUUAUUGUUAGUUGCCAUCAUUYAGUUGGGCACUCUAGCAAGACUGCCGGUGACAAACCGGAGGAAGGUGGGGAUGACGUCAAAUCAUCAUGCCCCUUAUGACCUGGGCUACACACGUGCUACAAUGGGAAGUACAACGAGUCGCGAAGUCGCGAGGCUAAGCUAAUCUCUUAAAGCUUCUCUCAGUUCGGAUUGUAGGCUGCAACUCGCCUACAUGAAGCCGGAAUCGCUAGUAAUCGCGGAUCAGCACGCCGCGGUGAAUACGUUCCCGGGCCUUGUACACACCGCCCGUCACACCACGAGAGUUUGUAACACCCGAAGUC